UCACUUCUGUGGGCAUCAUAAUCAGCUUUGUGAUGGCAAGUGGCCAGAAUGUAUAGGAGAGAGAGACUGUUGAUGGGCGUUCUGGGAACUCAGACCCCCUCAGAACCCACACCCCAGGAGGGCUGCAGCAGCUCACUUAGUCACGGCCCUUCCCCAGCCUGGACCUCAGUUCUCUCAUCUGGACAGUGGAAGAAUUAGACUGGACUGCCAUCCAAUAGGAUCACCUGGGGAAGUUUGCCACACCAUGCAUGCCUGGCGCCAGCCUCAGGCUUGGUAGGAUGUGUGUCAAUGUGUGUCCCUCAGUGGAGACCUAAUGGUGACAGUGAUGGCUGUGGAGGCCCCUCCAGAUCCAGACAUUUACCAGUGUGUGUCUCCUGCCCAGAAGGUGCCUUUCAGGAGCUCGUGCUUCCCAGGGCUAGACAUACUCCUCGUCAACACAACCCAGGCACUCAGGACACACUGGUGGAUUCCAACAGUUGCCAAGGCUGGGCUCGAACCUGUGACCCUCCUACCUCAGCCUUCUAGAGCGUUGGGAUUACAGAUGUGCACCACCAUUCCCAUCCACAGCUCCUGCAUAGGAAGAGGACUGGGGUGAAGCCUUCCUGUCUCUAGUUGCUCUUUUGUGGAGUGUGACCCCUGCUCCCAGGACAUGAGGCAGGCCUACAAAAAAACACUCAAAGCUGAGGAAGCUGAUCCAAGUCUCCAGGGUCACAACCCACAGAGGCCCUCACCACUCCUUUGCCAACUCCCUCUAAUCUUCACUGUCAAUGUAAGCUUUUGCCAAGCAGUUGCGUGAGUUUUCUUUCAUCUUCAUAAAGGUGAGGAUUGUUAUGCCCACAACAUAGGUCUAAUCACAGGAAUGUUUCUGUAUCUCCUGGAGCCACUGGCGUCUAAAGCUUGGAGUUACACUUAUCCAGAGAGAAUGAGCUUUGUUAAGACACAAUUCUGCAGGGG
rnacentral:lncRNA from 1 species